UUCUUAGCUUUCGCGGGUCGCGGCACGCCUGCCCCUAUGGCCUAUGCCGCUAUGCUAUUGUAUUAAGUUCAUGACGUUACACUGUCACCGUGACCGUUCAGCUUUUCCUUUCUGUUUCUUGUUUUUUUGUCUUGCGAGAGUGAGGUUCUCUUGGGGUUCAAGCAACUGAAACUUGUCCUAAAAUCAAGCCAUUUGCGCUACUCAGAGAACGCCAACUACAUGGGAAAGAGGAGAAUUUGCGAAGCGGAUGAUUGGUGUUUUGAAUGCAAGGAGGGCGGAGAGCUUGUAGUCUGUGAUCAUAAGAAUUGUGGAAAGGUUUAUCAUUUCGACUGUGUAAAGGAGGAAGAAUCCUCUUUUAAAGAUGGAAAACCUUGGAUUUGUGGUCGGCAUUAUUGCUUCGACUGCCACAAAUCCCCAAAGUUUUACUGCCUUGGCUGUCCGCA